UACGAAGGGGGCUAGCGUUGCUCGGAAUCACUGGGCGUAAAGGGCGCGUAGGCGGCUAAUUUAGUCGAGGGUGAAAGCCUGUGGCUCAACCACAGAAUUGCCUUCGAUACUGGUUGGCUUGAGUCCGGAAGAGGACAGCGGAACUGCGAGUGUAGAGGUGAAAUUCGUAGAUAUUCGCAAGAACACCAGUGGCGAAGGCGGCUGUCUGGUCCGGUUCUGACGCUGAGGCGCGAAAGCGUGGGGAGCAAACAGG
rnacentral:rRNA from 1 species